rnacentral:rRNA from 1 species
GACGAACGCUGGCGGCGUGCUUAACACAUGCAAGUCGAGCGGAGCGGCGAACGGGCGAGUAACGCGUGAGUAACUGCCCCCCUCUCUGGGAUAACAGUUGGAAACGGCUGCUAAUACCGGAUAGUGGGGGAUGACUCGCGUCCUAUCAGCUUGUUGGUGGGGUAGUGGCCUACCAAGGCGACGACGGGUAGCCGGCCUGGGAGGGCGACCGGCCCCAUUGGGCUGAGAGAGGGCCCAAUCGCGUACGGGAGGCAGCGGGGGGGAAUAGUGCACAAUGGGGGAGACCCUGAUGCAGCAACGCCGCGUGCGUGAUGCCGGCCUUCGGGUUGUAAACCGCUUUCAGCCAUGACGCGGUAGUGGCAGAAGAAGCACCGGCUAACUACGUGCCAGCAGCCGCGGUAAUUC